rnacentral:rRNA from 1 species
CCUACGGGUGGCAGCAGUGGGGAAUAUUGCGCAAUGGGCGAAAGCCUGACGCAGCGACGCCGCGUGAGGGAUGAAGGUCUUCGGAUCGUAAACCUCUGUCAGCAGGGAAGAACGGUCACUGUGCUAAUCAGCAGUGAAUUGACGGUACCUGCAAAGGAAGCACCGGCUAACUCGGUGCCAGCAGCCGCGGUAAUACGGAGGGUGCGAGCGUUAAUCGGAAUUACUGGGCGUAAAGCGCUCGUAGGCGGUAUGUCAAGUCAAGGGUGAAAUCCCCGCGCUCAACGUGGGAACUGCCUUUGAAACUGGCAAACUGGAGUGUGUGAGAGGAUAGUGGAAUUCCAGGUGUAGGAGUGAAAUGCGUAGAUAUCGGGAGGAACAUCAGUGGCGAAGGCGACUAUCUGGCACAUAACUGACGCUGAGGAGCGAAAGCGUGGGUAGCAAACAGGAUUAGAUACCCUUGUAGUC